AGGAUCAUUAUCGUACAACGGGGGUGCGAGGGCUGUCGCUGACCAUUCAAAGGUCGUGCACGCCCGAGUGCUCUCACAAUCCAUCUCACCCUUUGUGCAUCACCGCGUGGGUCCCCCUUUACGGGAGGGCUCGCGUUUUCACAUAAAACUCGAUACAGUGUAGAAUGUUUACUUUUGCGGUCACACGCAAUCAAUACAACUUUCAACAACGGAUCUCUUGGCUCUCGCAUCGAUGAAGAACGCAGCGAAAUGCGAUACGUAAUGUGAAUUGCAGAAUUCAGUGAAUCAUCGAAUCUUUGAACGCACCUUGCGCCCCUUGGCAUUCCGAGGGGCACACCCGUUUGAGUGUCGUGAAAUCCUCAAAACCCUCUUCUUUCGGGAAAAGGAUUUUUGGACUUGGAGGUUUAAUGCUCGCUUUUGCCUUUGAAAGUGAGCUCCUCUCAAAUGAAUCAGUGGGGUCUGCUUUGCUGGUCCUUGACGUGAUAAGAUGUUUCUACGUUUUGGAUCUAGCAUCGUCCUUUGGAUGCCCCUGCUCCUAAUCGUCUCACAGACAAUGAUGGUGCUCCGGUCACUGCCGUCUACAUUGGCGGGGGGAGGCUGGACCCACAAAAAAAAUCUUGACCUCAAAUCGGGUGAGACUACCCGCUGAACUUAAGCAUAUCAAUAAGCGGAGGAAAAGAAACUAACAAGGAUUCCCCUAGUAACUGCGAGUGAAGCGGGAAAAGCUCAAAUUUAAAAUCUGGUGGUCUU
rnacentral:rRNA from 1 species